CAACAAGAGUGCACACGCUGAAAUGUCUCGCCUUCUUUACUAAUCAUUGAUAUUAUGUUGAUAGUCCUAAAUAUAAAGCUUAAUUACAACUGUCACAUAAACUUAACAUUAACCAAGUAAACUAAACAUUGACCAAUGAACCAUGAAAAUGAGGUCAAGGUCAGAUGAACCAUGCUAGGCAGGCAUGUACAGCUAACAAUUCUUCCAUACAACAAAUAGAGUUGACCUAUUGCUUAUAGUUUAAGAAAAACAGACCAAAACACAAAAACUUAACACUGAGCAAUGAACCUUGAAAAUGAGGUCAAGGUCAAAUAAAACCUGCGUGACUGCCAAAUAGAUCAUAAAAUAUUUCCAUACACCAAAUAUAGUUGAACUAUUGCAUAUAGUAUAAGAAAAACAGACCAAAACACAAAAACUUAACUAUAACCACUGAACCAUGAAAAUGAGGUCAAGGUCAGAUGACACCUGCCAGUUGGACAUGUACACCUUACAGUCCUUCCAUACACCAAAUAUACUAGACCUAUUGCUUAUAGUAUCUGAGAUAUGGACUUGACCACCAAAACUUAACCUUGUUCAUUGAUCCAUGAAAUGAGGUCGAGGUCAAGUGAAAACUGUCUGACGGGCAUGAGGACCUUGCAAGGUACGCACAUACCAAAUAUAGUUGAACUAUUGCACAUAGUAUUAGAAAAAAAGACCAAAACUCAAAAACUUAACUUUGACCACUGAACCAUGAAAAUGAGGUCAAGGUCAGAUGACACCUGUCCGCUAGACAUGUACACCUUACAAUCAUUCCAUACACCAAAUAUAGUAGACCUAUGGCAUACAGUAUAAGAAAUACAGACCAAAACACAAAAACUUAACUAUAACCACUGAACCAUGAAAAUGAGGCCAAGGUCAGAUGACACCUGCCAGUUGGACAUGUACACCUUACAGUCCUUCCAUACACCGAAUAUACUAGACCUAUUGCUUAUAGUAUCUGAGAUAUGGACUUGACCACCAAAACUUAACCUUGUUCAUUGAUCCAUGAAAUGAGGUCGAGGUCAAGUGAAAACUGUCUGACGGGCAUGAGGACCUUGCAAGGUACGCACAUACCAAAUAUAGUUGAACUAUUGCACAUAGUAUUAGAAAAAAAGACCAAAACUCAAAAACUUAACUUUGACCACUGAACCAUGAAAAUGAGGUCAAGGUCAGAUGACACCUGCCAGUUGGACAUGUACACCUUACAGUCCUUCCAUACACCAAAUAUACUAGACCUAUUGCU